rnacentral:rRNA from 1 species
AUUGAACGCUGGCGGCAUGCUUUACACAUGCAAGUCGAACGGCAGCGCGGGGGCAACCCUGGCGGCGAGUGGCGAACGGGUGAGGAAUGCAUCGGAACGUACCUAGCAGUGGGGGAUAACGUCGCUAAAGCGGCGCUAAUACCGCAUAUUCUCUACGGAGGAAAGGGGGGGCUCGUAAGACCUCUCGCUGUUAGAGCGGCCGAUGUCUGAUUAGCUUGUUGGUGAGGUAAUGGCUCACCAAGGCGACGAUCAGUAGCUGGUAUGAGAGUACGACCAGCCACACUGGGACUGAGACACGGCCCAGACACCUACGGGAGGCAGCAGUGGGGAAUUUUGGACAAUGGGGGAAACCCUGAUCCAGCAAUGCCGCGUGCGGGACGAAGGCCUUCGGGUUGUAAACCGCUUUUACCAGGGAAGAAAUAGUGACUACUAAUACUAGUCAUGAAUGACGGUACUUGGGGAAUAAGCACCGGCUAACUACGUGCCAGCAGCCGCGGUAAUACGUAGGGUGCAAGCGUUAAUCGGAAUUACUGGGCGUAAAGGGUGCGCAGGCGGUUCUGUAAGUCAGAUGUGAAAGCCCCGGGCUUAACCUGGGAAGUGCAUCUGAAACUGCAGAUCUAGAGUGUGUCAGAGGGAGGUAGAAUUCCACGUGUAGCAGUGAAAUGCGUAGAUAUGUGGAGGAAUACCGGUGGCGAAGGCGGCCUCCUGGGAUAACACUGACGCUCAUGCACGAAAGCGUGGGGAGCAAACAGGAUUAGAUACCCUGGUAGUCCACGCCCUAAACGAUGUCAACUAGCUGUUGGGGGAAUGAAGUCUCCAAGUAGCGUAGCUAACGCGUGAAGUUGACCGCCUGGGGAGUACGGUCGCAAGAUUAAAACUCAAAGGAAUUGACGGGGACCCGCACAAGCGGUGGAUGAUGUGGAUUAAUUCGAUGCAACGCGAAAAACCUUACCUACCCUUGACAUGUCAGGAAUCCCUAAGAGAUUAGGGAGUGCCGCAAGGAACCUGAACACAGGUGCUGCAUGGCUGUCGUCAGCUCGUGUCGUGAGAUGUUGGGUUAAGUCCCGCAACGAGCGCAACCCUUGUCAUUAGUUGCCACCAUUUAGUUGGGCACUCCAAUGAGACCGCCGGUGACAAACCGGAGGAAGGUGGGGAUGACGUCAAGUCCUCAUGGCCCUUAUGGGUAGGGCUUCACACGUCAUACAAUGGUCGGUACAGAGGGUCGCCAACCCGCGAGGGGGAGCUAAUCUCACAAAGCCGAUCGUAGUCCGGAUUGCAGUCUGCAACUCGACUGCAUGAAGUCGGAAUCGCUAGUAAUCGCGGAUCAGCAUGUCGCGGUGAAUACGUUCCCGGGUCUUGUACACACCGCCCGUCAAACCAUGGGAGCGGGUUUUGCCAGAAGUAGCUAGUCUAACCGCAAGGAGGACGGUUACCACGGUAGGGCUCGUGACUGGGGUUAAGUCGUAACAAGGUAGCCGUAUCGGAAGGUGC